rnacentral:rRNA from 1 species
UACGGAGGGUGCAAGCGUUGUCCGGAUUUAUUGGGUUUAAAGGGUGCGUAGGCGGCCCGGUAAGUCAGUGGUGAAAGCCCAUAGCUCAACUAUGGAACUGCCAUUGAUACUGCCGGGCUUGAGUACAGACGAGGUAGGCGGAAUUGAAGAUGUAGCGGUGAAAUGCAUAGAUAUCUUCAAGAACACCGAUUGCGUAGGCAGCUUACUAGGCUGUAACUGACGCUGAGGCACGAAAGCGUGGGGAGCGAACAGG